rnacentral:rRNA from 1 species
GACGAACGCUGGCGGCGUGCUUAACACAUGCAAGUCGAACGGAAAGGCCCUGCUUUUGUGGGGUGCUCGAGUGGCGAACGGGUGAGUAACACGUGAGUAACCUGCCCUUGACUUUGGGAUAACUUCAGGAAACUGGGGCUAAUACCGGAUAGGAGCUCCUGCUGCAUGGUGGGGGUUGGAAAGUUUCGGCGGUUGGGGAUGGACUCGCGGCUUAUCAGCUUGUUGGUGGGGUAGUGGCUUACCAAGGCUUUGACGGGUAGCCGGCCUGAGAGGGUGACCGGCCACAUUGGGACUGAGAUACGGACCAGACUCGUACGGGAGGCAGCAGUGGGGAAUAUUGCACAGUGGGCGGAAGCCUGAUGAAGCAACGCCGCGUGCGGGAUGACGGCCUUCGGGUUGUAAACCGCUUUCGCUUGUGACGAAGCGUGAGUGACGGUAAUGGGUAAAGAAGCACCGGCUAACUACGUG